CGUUAUCUGGGUGUUGUUUAUUCAUGAAGAAUAAUAGAGAUUUUACACUUCUUCAAGCCUUCGGCGUUGAUAUGCUUUAGAGGAGAGGCCAUUUAUCCUUAAUGAUAUACACGAAGACCUUCCAAACAAGAUUCGAGUGGCUAGAUAAGGUGGCUUAAUCAGGAAAUAGACGAUCAACCACCAGCAACAGCACAUA